UACAAAGUUUCCACCAUAAAUUAUGAAAUCAUGCCAUAUGAUACAAGUAAUUAAUGCAUCCCAAAAGAGCCUUAUCUAAAUUCCAAAGCUACUUCCAAGGAUAUUUUAGCAAGGCAAUCACAAAUCUAAACCUCAAGCCAAGCCAUAUUGCAAUUCAACCUAAAUUCCCAAACCCACUUUCAGUCAUUCAAGUUUAGCAUAUAGAGUACACACAUAUUCCGCUAGGAACUCACUUCUAGUCUCGAACUUCUCCUUGUAGCUAUGAGUUUUAUCUUCUCUGCUUGUUUGCACGUCAGCUGGGAUAUGUUCAGGCUGUUCCUCACCUUCCCAUUUUAUUGUAUGGCGGGCUAGCCUUUGCUGAUAGGAUGAGAUGGACUUUAGUAGACGACAUCAUUAUGCGACCAGUGAGAUCCAAAGAGCAUUUAAACACUUUUCUGCUCGUGACAUGCCUACUGGGACCCUUAGCUGUACUCCUGAGUUUUCUGAAUGAUGAAAGAUAUGGGUAGAGACUUUUCUCAUUCCCCGAUCAGUCAUGCCUCGAACUCUCCAUCACAAAGAAGGCAAAGUCGAUUGUCACUCCAUCUGGGGUCAAGAUCCAUAUGCCACCGAGCUCUGCCAAGGCUAACACACCUCCCCGUGAUCUCCUUGCAUUAUCGGGCAUUUGCUUCCAGGUGUAUUCAGCUUAUUAGAGACUAUUGACAUUACUGGUGAUGAUAGUCCAAAACAGACGCCUCGGGCUCUCAGUUGUGAAGCCGCCAGCCACACAUGCCUCUUCUGACUUUCGGCCUCUCAUCAGUUAGGAUGACAGCUUAAUAAAAUUUGUAGGGGAAAUUCUUUCUAUGUUUCAGUCUGAAGGACUAAUGUCUGAUUCUACAACUGUUAAGAAGGAUCCUAUAAAGCCAACUUAUAAAUCCAACAAGAGUCCAAGAAAAGAUCCUUCUGGCUCUACAACUGCUGCCUCCCAGUCUGCUUUCAGAUUAUCAGAGUUGUCCACGUUUGAGAGCCCAUUGGCCAGAUUGGACCUCUCAUUCUUGUCCUGCUCUGUAGUUACUUCACCAUCUUCAGAUCUUGUGCUUGAUCCAGCUGGGGUCCAUAAAGCUCAGCAGAAACUUUGCCAUUUUCUAACUCUGUCUUUAGACCGAAUAUCUUUUGAUGAGCUUCCUCAUGUUGACAGCUUGAUUUUUUUUUUUUUUUUUUUUAAGAAUCCUUUAUGUGAUAGUGAUUGAGCCCAUCUACGCACUCUUCGUACAGAUUUGACACAUCUCCUCAAGAGCUAUCAAGCAGUCACUUCUGAGAAUAGCUUCUUGGAACAACAAUUAAAAGAGUUCUAAGAUUGCAAGACAGGUUGAACAGGCAGAAGCUGCCAUUCUGGCUUACAGAGACACAACUGCUUAAUUCAAAAUUGAACUCCAAACUAAGGAAAAAAAGAUAGUCGAGCUCUUUGCAAAACUACAGAAAGAAUAUGUUGAGGCUCAUGACACUAUGGCUAAACUGAUCCACAUCUCCAGACUUCAAUCAGAGGAAGAAACUCAUUUUUAGGGCUUAGUACCAUUAUUGAGUUUCAAUUGCCAGCAAAACAAAGAGUUACUCUUACGGAGGCAACAUCUAACUAGGCAGAGGAAAGAGCACACUGAGCGCUAGGACUGCCUCCGGACUUGUGUGAAUGUCAGCUUCUUGUGAUUGUGUUGAGGUUCACCUUAUUGGCCAUGCUUGUUUUUGUUUUUUCAUCUCUUUUGCAGAUUUGUACAGUCCUGUGAUUGGCUUUUAGACUUUGACUUGAUUUUUGCUGAUGGACGGGUUGAACCAUAAUUAUUCUUUUGCUGUGAAUUACUGAAUAAGGUUGAGCCCUCUACUUGAGAUUGUUGAUUGUUGAUCAGGGGCUGAGCUC